GGCGGAUUUUGCUCGGAGUGGGUUCAAGAGCAUCAGUGCAGUUGGGAAGCUCUUAGAAAUAUGAAGCUGUUGCCUAAUGGGCCAUCGGAGGAUUAUAUUGAUAGGAUGUUCAGAAUGAGACUCCACGUCCAUAUUUGCUUAAAAGGUUUCAGUGGGAUCCUAUGAAGCUUGCGCCUCAAUUAAUUCAUUAGUGUACAAUCAGAUAUUGCAGCAGUUGCAGAUAGAGACUGGAAACAAACUCCAGCUUUUAAGGUGUUUUAUUUGCAUGAUGAUCGAUCAGGCGAGGAAUGCUUCAAUAAUUUCUUUUUACCGUCCGGGCCAAGGAGGAACAGUCCUUCCGCCUGUCAAUCUGAAGGAACCAGGGAAAUAAAAUACAACCGUGCCCAGGUUUCCUGAGGUUAGGGUGGUGAGAGCGUACGCUUGUUAUGGCUACAGCGGGUCUUAUCUGAAAGCAACUGAAGGGCGUUGCUGGUGAGAUACUGGGAUCCUUCCUAUGGCUUCUGCAGGUCGGGAGGAUAACGACAGUGAGAUGAGAUGCAACGCAUUCAAAGGGAAUCUUGGAAAAUACUAGUCUAUCGUGUUGUUUAUUGUUAUGCGGCAUUGACUCUGUAUUAAUGCCAUCCAGGUCUAGAAUUGAGAGCUGAGAAGACUUUUGUUUAAAUCCAAGUAUCGUCGGUUCACCGCGUUCCUUAACCAUAAAAAAGUUGCCUCGUCCGGAGCUUGGCCUUGAAAGCCUUAACGCCAACACAAGGGGGGGAAGGAAAGAAGAAAAAGAAAAUUCCACGCAACGCAUUCUUCUUAUUAAUCGGGACGACUGACAAAGAAUCUUUUAAAUGACAGCUUGCAAAAGUUGCAAAAGGCGAGGCUUUCCAGAUGCGGGCUGGUAUUUAUUUUUAUAUGUAGAAAUCUUAGGUCGAACAGGCUUUCCAAAUACAACUAG